rnacentral:lncRNA from 7 species
AGUGCUCUGGUGAGUCCUCUGCUGCAACAGAAGCUCCUAACUGCAAAGUUCCUCAUCACAGAACUCCAUGAAAAUGCCUCUCAGCCUCCAGGCAGAGCGGGUGCCUGUGUUCAGCAUGGAGGGACGCGGCUGUCACCGUGCCAGGUGUGACGCGGGGCUGCAUCAGAUCGAUGGCACGGCCGCAGGAGAGCUCACUAGUGAUGCCAGGUUUAUUUUGAUAUGCACCUAAAUGUUUUGUUGGAUGAAAAGAGACGUGGGGGGUUAUUUUGAAGAGGGGGUGAUGAGCACAUCCCACCACUGAACCCAGUGAGGGCCGGACCUGCAGAACUGCUCUGCUUUGACUUUGCUCUGAAGCAUCUCUUUUCUGCCCAUUCUGCAUUAAAAUGCAUCAGAUAUAAAUAAAACCACCCAGACAGGAGACUUCUC